GACGAACGCUGGCGGCGUGCUUAACACAUGCAAGUCGAGCGGUAAGGCCCUUCGGGGUACCCGAGCGGCGAACGGGUGAGUAACACGUGAGUAAUCUGCCCAUCACUUCGGGAUAACUCCGGGAAACCGGUGCUAAUACCGAAUAUGACCACUUCAGGCAUCUGAUGGUGGUGGAAAGUUCCGGCGGUGAUGGAUGAGCUCGCGGCCUAUCAGCUUGUUGGUGGGGUAGUGGCCUACCAAGGCUUCGACGGGUAGCCGGCCUGAGAGGGUGACCGGCCACACUGGGACUGAGAGACGGCCCAGACUCCUACGGGAGGCAGCAGUGGGGAAUAUUGGACAAUGGGCGAAAGACUGAUCCAGAAACGCAGCGUGAGGGAUGACGGCCUUCGGGUUGUAAACCUCGUUCAGCAGGGACGAAGCGCAAGUGACGGUACCUGCAGAAGAAGCACCGGCAAACUACGUG
rnacentral:rRNA from 1 species